rnacentral:rRNA from 1 species
UACGGAGGGGGCUAGCGUUGUUCGGAAUUACUGGGCGUAAAGCGCACGUAGGCGGCUUCUUAAGUCAGAGGUGAAAGCCCGGGGCUCAACCGCGGAACUGCCUUUGAGACUGCGUCGCUCGAAUCCGGGAGAGGCGGGUGGAAUUCCGGGUGUAGAGGUGAAAUUCUUAGAGAUUCUGAAGAACACCAGUGGCGAAGGCGGCCCGCUGGAGCGGCAUUGACGCUGAGGUGCGAAAGCGUGGGGAGCAAACAG